CGCAUCUGUGCAUGCAGCAUAUCAAUAAGCGGAGGAAAAGAAACUAACAAGGAUUCCCUCAGUAACGGCGAGUGAAGCGGGAAGAGCUCAAAUUUGAAAUCUUGAAAGGUCACCUUUCACGAAUUGUAGUUUAAAGAAGUGUUUUCUGUUACGAUCGUAAUAUAAGUUCUUUGGAAUAGGACAUCACAGAGGGUGAGAAUCCCGUCUAUGAUUGCGAUUUGUAGCUUUGUGAUACACUUUCAAAGAGUCGGGUUGUUUGGGAAUGCAGCCCAAAACGGGAGGUAAAUUUCUUCUAAGGCUAAAUAUUGGCGAGAGACCGAUAGCGAACAAGUACCGUGAGGGAAAGAUGAAAAGAACUUUGAAAAGAGAGUUAAAUAGUACGUGAAAUUGUCAAAAGGGAAGCGUUUAACACCAGUGUUGUUUUCUGAAAAUCAACCUCUGUUAGCUUUAUGCAUGUUUGUUUAGACCUAAUCAGCUAUCUUUCAUGUUCUAUUGUUUGCAGUGGUGCACUUUUCAGUUUACAGGUCAACAUCAGUUUUUUUUACCGUAAAAAAGUUAAAGAAAGGUAGCUCAUGGCUCCGGUCGUGAGUGUUAUAGUCUUUUUCCUAUGCGGUAGGGAGAGACUGAGGUCUGCAGUGUAGGCUAUUUGGCUAGAUACUCAGGUGCUAUGUGAUACCAUUUCAUAAACAACUUGUUGAUUAUGUUUUGUCUAUUGCAUACUCGCUUGUACUAUCAUACCUACGCUUAGGAUGUUGACGAUCAGCUGAGCGCG
rnacentral:rRNA from 1 species